AGUGAACGCUGGCGGUAGGCCUAACACAUGCAAGUCGAACGGCAGCACAGGAGAGCUUGCUCUCUGGGUGGCGAGUGGCGGACGGGUGAGGAAUACAUCGGAAUCUACUCUGUCGUGAGGGAUAACGUAGGGAAACUUACGCUAAUACCGCAUACGACCUAUGGGUGAAAGCAGGGGACCUUCGGGCCUUGCGCGAAUGAAUGAGCCGAUGUCGGAUUAGGUAGUUGGCGGGGUAAAGGCCCACCAAGGCGACGAUCCGUAGCUGGUCUGAGAGGAUGAUCAGCCACACUGGAACUGAGACACGGUCCAGACUCCUACGGGAGGCAGCAGUGGGGAAUAUUGGACAAUGGGCGCAAGCCUGAUCCAGCCAUACCGCGUGGGUGAAGAAGGCCUUCGGGUUGUAAAUCCCUUUUGUUGGGAAAGAAAUCCAGCUGGCUAAUACCCGGUUGGGAUGACGGUACCCAAAGAAUAAGCACCGGCUAACUUCGUGCCAGCCGCCGCCGUAA
rnacentral:rRNA from 1 species